AGCGGUGUUUCUUCCCGUAUAAAAGCAGUUUACAACCCAUAGGGCAGUCUUCCUGCACGCGGCAUGGCUGGAUCAGAGUUGCCUCCAUUGUCCAAUAUUC
rnacentral:rRNA from 1 species